UGAGUCGUUAGCUCAGUUGGUAGAGCAUCUGACUUUUAAUCAGAGGGUCGACAGUUCGAGCCUGUCACGACUCAUC
rnacentral:tRNA from 6 species